rnacentral:rRNA from 1 species
UACGGAGGGUGCAAGCGUUAUCCGGAUUCACUGGGUUUAAAGGGUGCGUAGGCGGCUAUUUAAGUCAAUGGUGAAAGCUCGCAGCUUAACUGUGAAACUGCCAUUGAUACUGGGUAGCUUGAGUACGAUUGAUGUGGGCGGAAUACAUCAUGUAGCGGUGAAAUGCUUAGAUAUGAUGUAGAACACCGAUUGCGAAGGCAGCUCACAAAAUCGCAACUGACGCUGAGGCACGAAAGCGUGGGGAUCAAACAGG